UCCGGUGGUCAUAGCGGUGGGGCCACACCCGUUCCCAUCCCGAACACGGCAGUUAAGCCCACCAGCGCCGAUGGUACUUGGACGGAGACGUCCUGGGAGAGUAGGUCGCCGCCGGAU
rnacentral:rRNA from 2 species